CCUCCAGACUCCUACGGGAGGCAGCAGUGGGGAAUAUUGCACAAUGGGGGAAACCCUGAUGCAGCGACGCCGCGUGAGUGAAGAAGUAAUUCGUUAUGUAAAGCUCUAUCAGCAGGGAAGAAAAUGACGGUACCUGAGUAAGAAGCCCCGGCUAACUACGUGCCAGCAGCCGCGGUAAUACGUAGGGGGCAAGCGUUAUCCGGAUUUACUGGGUGUAAAGGGAGCGUAGACGGCGGGGCAAGUCUGGAGUGAAAGGCCGGGGCCCAACCCCGGGACCGCUCUGGAAACUGCCCGGCUGGAGUGCGGGAGAGGUAAGCGGAAUUCCUAGUGUAGCGGUGAAAUGCGUAGAUAUUAGGAGGAACACCAGCGGCGAAGGCGGCUUACUGGACCGUGACUGACGUUGAGGCUCGAAAGCGUGGGGAGCAAACAGGAUUAGAUACCCCCGUA
rnacentral:rRNA from 1 species